UAGUGAUUAACGCGAAGAACCUUACCCAGGCUUGAACAGCGAGUGACCAGCUCCGAAAGGGGCCUUCCGCAAGGACACUCGUAGAGGUGCUGCAUGGCUGUCGUCAGCUUGUGUCGUGAGAUGUUGGGUUAAGUCCCGCAACGAGCGCAACCCUUGUUUGCUGUUGCCAUCACGUUAUGGUGGGCACUCUGCAAAGACUGCCGGUGAUAAACCGGAGGAAGGUGGGGAUGACGUCAAGUCAGCAUGGCCUUUAUGUCUGGGGCUACACACGUGCUACAAUGGCCGAUACAAACCGUCGCGAUACCGUAAGGUGGAGCUAAUCGGAGAAAGUCGGUCUCAGUUCGGAUCGUAGGCUGCAACUCGCCUGCGUGAAGUUGGAAUCGCUAGUAAUCGCGGAUCAGCACGCCGCGGUGAAUACGUUCCCGGGCCUUGUCACACCCGAAUCGAAUUCC
rnacentral:rRNA from 1 species